GAUGAACGCUGGCGGCGUGCCUAAUACAUGCAAGUCGAGCGAACAGACGAGAAGCUUGCUCCUCUGACGUUAGCGGCGGACGGGUGAGUAACACGUGGAUAACCUACCUAUAAGACUGGGAUAACUUCGGGAAACCGGAGCUAAUACCGGAUAAUAUAUUGAACCGCAUGGUUCAAUAGUGAAAGACGGUUUUGCUGUCACUUAUAGAUGGAUCCGCGCCGCAUUAGCUAGUUGGUAAGGUAACGGCUUACCAGGGCAACGAUGCGUAGCCGACCUGAGAGGGUGAGCGGGCACACUGGAACUGAGAGACGGCCCAGAGUCCGAGGGGAGGCAGCAGUAGGGAAGGGUCGGAAAUGGGCGAAAGACUGACGGAGCAACGCCGGGUGGGUGAAGAAGGUCUGCGGAUCGUAAAACGCUGUUAUGAGGGAAGAACAAAUUUGUAAGUAACGAUGCACGUCUGAACGGUACCGAUACAGAAAGCCCCGGCUAACUACGG
rnacentral:rRNA from 1 species